AUUGAACGCUGGCGGCAGGCUUAACACAUGCAAGUCGAACGAGUGGCGGACGGGUGAGUAAUGCUUGGGAAUCUAGCUUAUGGAGGGGGAUAACUACGGGAAACUGUAGCUAAUACCGCGUACCAUAGGAUGAGCCGAAGUGGGAUUAGGUAGUUGGUGAGGUAAAGGCUCACCAAGCCGACGAUCCCUAGCUGGUCUGAGAGGAUGACCAGCCACACUGGGACUGAGACACGGCCCAGACUCCUACGGGAGGCAGCAGUUGGGAAUAUUGCGCAAUGGGGGCAACCCUGACAGAGCAAUGCCGCGUGGAUGAAGAAGGUCUUAGGGUUGUAAAGUACUUUCAGCGGGGAGGCGUUACCCGCACAAGAAGCAACGGCUAACUCCGUGCCAGCAGCCGCGGUAAUUC
rnacentral:rRNA from 1 species